AAACGCAGCUGCAAAUCCUUCUGUUGACUCUAUUUUGCAAACCAAAGACUCUGUUCUUGACAAGCUUUAGGAGAUUAAUGUUAAGGCCUCUAUACUUCUUCUCAAGCUCCUCACUUGCACAAAGGCUCAUAUGUGGUUAUUAUUUCCUCCAUCGCCGGCUUCAAUCCUCCUGCUUCUAUGUCUAUGUAUGGAGUGACCAAAACAGCCCUUUUUGGACUUACUAAAGUAGGAUAAUUUUGGUAGACUGCAUGAUAGGGGCAAAGAAACACCCAAAGUAAUGAAGCAACUUGGUUGCCAUCAACAGUUCAUGGACCAGUUCUAAUUUGAAACUUGUACAAAAUGAGACCUUGCUUUCUGAUUGGAAGCAACAACAAGAGCGUGAUGUCGAGAUUAUGAAAGCUCAGUCUAAUGUUGUCAGCAUCCGCACGGCAAAAUAGAUCCAUAUGUUGUGAUACAAUACAAAGGGCAAAAGUAAAGGAGCACAUUUGCUAAUAAUGGAGUGCUGAAAUGGUGACCACAUGCUACCUUGAGGGCUCAAGAGUAUUUUGAUUCAUAGAGACACUAAUCUAUGUUAGAACUUUU